UGAGGAAUAUUGGUCAAUGGGCGAGAGCCUGAACCAGCCAAGUCGCGUGAAGGAAGAAGGUUCUAUGGAUUGUAAACUUCUUUUGUAAGGGAAUAAAAAAGGUUACGUGUAGCCUAUUGUAUGUACUUUACGAAUAAGGAUCGGCUAACUCCGUGCCAGCAGCCGCGGUAAUACGGAGGAUCCAAGCGUUAUCCGGAUUUAUUGGGUUUAAAGGGUGCGUAGGCGGACCAAUAAGUCAGUGGUGAAAGUUUGCGGCUCAACCGUAAAAUUGCCAUUGAAACUGUCGGUCUUGAGUGUAAAUGAGGUAGGCGGAAUGUGUUGUGUAGCGGUGAAAUGCUUAGAUAUAACACAGAACACCAAUUGCGAAGGCAGCUUACUACGCAUAUAUUGACGCUGAGGCACGAAAGCGUGGGGAUCAAACAGG
rnacentral:rRNA from 1 species